AUUGAACGCUGGCGGCAUGCUUUACACAUGCAAGUCGAACGGUAACAGGCCGCAAGGUGCUGACGAGUGGCGAACGGGUGAGUAAUGCAUCGGAACGUGCCCAGUCGUGGGGGAUAACUACUCGAAAGAGUAGCUAAUACCGCAUACGAUCUAUGGAUGAAAGCGGGGGACCGUAAGGCCUCGCGCGAUUGGAGCGGCCGAUGUCAGAUUAGGUAGUUGGUGGGGUAAAGGCUCACCAAGCCAACGAUCUGUAGCUGGUCUGAGAGGACGACCGGCCACAACGGGAAUGAGACACGGCCCCGAAUCCCAAGGGGAGCAGGAGUAGGGAAUUUUUGGCAAAGGGCGGAAGCCCGGAGCAGGAAAGGCGCGUGGAAGAAGAAGGGCUUCGGGUUGUUAAACUCUUUUUGUAGGGAAGGAAAAGGCUCUGGUUAACACCCGGGGCUAAGGCGGGACCCGAAAGAAAAGGACCGGCUAACUACGUG
rnacentral:rRNA from 1 species